rnacentral:rRNA from 1 species
CCUACGGGAGACUGCAGUAGGGAAUAUUGCUCAAUGGGGGAAACCCUGAAGCAGCAACGCCGCGUGGAGGAUGAAGGUUUUAGGAUUGUAAACUCCUUUUGUUAGAGAAGAUUAUGACGGUAUCUAACGAAUAAGCACCGGCUAACUCCGUGCCAGCAGCCGCGGUAAUACGGAGGGUGCAAGCGUUACUCGGAAUCACUGGGCGUAAAGAGUGCGUAGGCGGGGUAAUAAGUCAGAUGGGAAAUCCUGUAGCUUAACUACAGAACUGCAUUUGAAACUGUUGCUCUGGAGUGUGGGAGAGGUAGGUGGAAUUCUUGGUGUAGGGGUAAAAUGCGUAGAGAUCAAGAGGAAUACUCAUUGCGAAGGCGACCUGCUGGAACAUUACUGACGCUGAUGCACGAAAGCGUGGGGAGCAAACAGGAUUAGAUACCCCUGUAGUC